rnacentral:rRNA from 1 species
UACGUAGGGUGCAAGCGUUGUCCGGAAUUAUUGGGCGUAAAGAGCUCGUAGGCGGUCUGUCGCGUCGGCUGUGAAAACUCGGGGCUCAACUCCGAGCUUGCAGUCGAUACGGGCAGGCUAGAGUUCGGCAGGGGGAGACUGGAAUUCCUGGUGUAGCGGUGAAAUGCGCAGAUAUCAGGAGGAACACCGGUGGCGAAGGCGGGUCUCUGGCCCGAUACUGACGUGAGGCACGAAAGCGUGGGGAGCAAACAGG